CCCUUAGAUGUUCUGGGCCGCACGCGCGCUACACUGAUUCAUGCACUAAGUAUAUAACCUUGGUAGAAAUGCUUGGGUAAUCUUUGAAACUGAAUCGUGCUGGGGAUUGGAGCUUGUAAUUAUUCUCCAUGAACGAGGAAUUCCUAGUAAGCGCGAGUCAUCAGCUCGUGCUGAUUACGUCCCUGCCCUUUGUACACACCGCCCGUCGCUGCAACUGAUUGGGUGACCUGGUGAACAUCUUGGACCGGCCCACUCAAUUUCGAGAGGACUGGAAAAGGCCGUAAAUCAGGUACAUCUAGAAAUUGCAAAAGUCGUAACA
rnacentral:rRNA from 1 species